rnacentral:rRNA from 1 species
CAGUCGCCGCGGUAAUACAGAGGGUGCGAGCGUUAAUCGGAAUUACUGGGCGUAAAGCGUGCGCAGGCGGUUAUAUAAGACAGAUGUGAAAUCCCCGGGCUCAACCUGGGAACUGCAUUGGUGACUGCAGCGCUGGAGUUCGGCAGAGGGGGAUGGAAUUCCGCGUGUAGCAGUGAAAUGCGUAGAUAUGCGGAGGAACACCGAUGGCGAAGGCAAUCCCCUGGGCCUGCACUGACGCUCAUGCACGAAAGCGUGGGGAGCAAACAGGAUUAGAUACCCCCGUAGUCCCUGUCUCUUAUAA